UCCGUGGAAACGCUGGACGCUGACCUGCAGUGGCUGACGUCUCGCACGCGCUCAGUAGAGGAGAACAUCCAGAGAGACACGGAGCUGCUGCAGCAACUCGACGGCUUCCUGCAGUCGGCCACCUCGUCUCUGUGCUCGCUGCGCGGCAGCCGGCAGCAGCUGAAGAGGGAAGGCAGCGAGCUCAUGGACUUCUUCUGUGAAGACAGAGAGACGUUCAGACUGGACGACUGCUUCAGCAUCUUCAACACCUUCUGCUGCAAGUUCUCUGAUGCUGUCAAGGAGAACACGGAGAGGGAGGCGAAGGAGGCGGCGAGGCGCCGGAGGAUACAGGAGCUGGAGGAGCAGAAGAGGCACUCAUGGGCCGGUGGGGAGGAGGUGAUG